rnacentral:rRNA from 1 species
UAGGGAAUCUUCCACAAUGGACGCAAGUCUGAUGGAGCAACGCCGCGUGAGUGAAGAAGGUUUUCGGACCGUAAAGCUCUGUUAUUGGUGAAGAAGGAUAGAGGUAGUAACUGGCCUUUAUUUGACGGUAAUCAACCAGAAAGUCACGGCUAACUACGUGCCAGCAGCCGCGGUAAUACGUAGGUGGCAAGCGUUGUCCGGAUUUAUUGGGCGUAAAGCGAGCGCAGGCGGAAGAAUAAGUCUGAUGUGAAAGCCCUCGGCUUAACCGAGGAAUUGCAUCGGAAACUGUUUUCUUGAGUGCAGAAGAGGAGAGUAGAACUCCAUGUGUAGCGGUGGAAUGCGUAGAUAUAUGGAAGAAUACCAGUGGCGAAGGCGGCUCUCUGGUCUGCAACUGACGCUGAGGCUCGAAAGCAUGGGUAGCGAACAGGAUUAGAUACCCUGGUAGUCCAUGCCGUAAACGAUGAGUGCUAAGUGUUGGGAGGCUUCCGCCUCUCAGUGCUGCAGCUAACGCAUUAAGCACUCCGCCUGGGGGAGUACGACCGCAAGGUUGAAAC